UGAUAGAUCGUUAUGAUUAUUUUGGUUAAUAUAAAAGUUUUUACUUUUUACUACCAUCGUCUCAAGUCUUAAAACCUAAAAUUGCCUAAUAUUUCAAUGCAAAGAUUAUCUAGCUAAGUAUAAAGAAAUAUUAAAAAUCAACCUACGCUGUUGCUGCCUUAGCUAUUUAUAGUAUAAAUCUGUUACUAUAAAAUACAAUCAGAUCACUUGAUUGUGGUUUCAAGUGGCAGGAAUUUAAAACUUCCUAUAUUGCAGUAAUAUCGUCCACAUAUUCGUCCUUUUGGAAAGGUAAAUGAUAUAUUGGAAUUCCUGUUGCAACUUUUCUUGUUAUUUCCACAUGUAACUUUGGACCAUAAAACCAAAAAUCGAAUGGGUAAAACGCUGAACGAAAAUGAAAAUGGGGUGAUUGAUAGUAAAAGUAAAAAUUGCGAGCAUAUGUACAUGAACCGGAACGAAUUGGGCAGACAUGCAUAGUGAGACUGAGAUAUAGGGGAAAAAAAAGAAAAGUUACGAUGGUAAGGGUAGAUGCAGUGAGACAAGAGCUGACGCGUGGUACAUAAUUGAGAAUCGUUAACGCGUCCUCGAGGGAGAUCGAGCGGCUGGAUUUUGCUAGGUCCUCUCUUACUCUCCGCCGCCGUUACCAUCAGCUUGCCUGCCUCUUCUCGUCCCGACUUCCUAGCCACGGUGUUGGUGACCUUCAACCGAUCAAGAGUGGAUGGACCUCGUUGGCCAGCGGGCCGAGGUAUAAGGUCAAGGUUACUGUCGUCGGUGUGCACGGGAUAUGCGACCUCCGGGAUAUGCAUCGAGCGAGAUGCGCGCGCAAUCAGCGCAUGCGCGCUGCCAGCCGGCUUGUCGUGCGUCGCAGCGUGUCGCGCAAGUCAUUGCCAAGGUCUUUGCUGGUCACGGGCAAACCGUUAUAAGUAGCGAUGGACACGAACCGAAAUACAAUUUUUAGACUAUAUAAUUAAUAUAUAUAUUAUUAAAUACUUUUAGAAUAUUCGUUUGAAUUCGAUGAUUGGACAAAUUAUGAAUCUGUAUUGUACAUAACUUGAAUUUGGUACAAGAUCACGAGGAUUUCGAUCCCAUCGCUAGUUGUAUGUAGCCGGUUGAGACUGAUGCAAAGCCGCCGAUGAUUUUUCUAGGGAAAAAGCAAUCAUGAAAGAAAUAAACGCGCGCGUCGCGACGCCUGCGUCACUACACCCGGCGUACAUCCAUGGCCAAGGUUCUCCCCGGUCACGGGCAACCCGUUAUACGUAGCUGGGAGCCAACACUUGCCCGAGGUCGUCCAUGACUGUCUUAUUCGCCCCAAGGCUUGGGAAAAGUUGAUCUCAAGAAGAUCCACCUAAUACGCUAUGAAAAUAUACAACGUAGAGAUGAACGUUAUUUUCAUGCAUACAAAUGAUCUUACCUUGAAUUAAAACAUUCAAAAGAAGAACUUUGUACGUUAAAGGUGAUUCAUCGAGGUAGCCGAAAUUUGGAGCAGUUUCUACAUUGCGUUAUGAUUAAUUUUUGUUGACGCGCGUACGUGCUCCAACUAGACGUCACGUCCUCGUGACCUGUAUGCAGCUGUGUGCACAUAGUGUACGUCAGUGUAAGCUCAUGUACGUCGUAUCGAGACACGUCAAGGCCAGAACCGUAGACGCGAGGAUUCACGACGGAAAAUCACGAUCACGACGAUGGAAAAAAUGGAGCUUCCUGCAAAAUUCAGGAGCUGCUGGAGCGGCCGAUAACAAUGCACUUUUCACUGACUCGAGUCUUUGCUAUGAGACGCUGAUUGCGUCAUCUUCCACGUAUCCUCGUGGAUCAAAGAUGUAUUGGAGACGGCGAAACGGCACAAGUUAUGGUUUUGAGAAAAAGAAAGACGAGAAGAUAUGUUAAGUUGGUGUUUCUUAUCAGUUUCGACGAUUUAUUGGCCAAAUCGCGAACGAAGGUGAAAAAUGGAUAGUACGUGGAGUUUCGUCGAUUUUAUGACAUAGCGAGGCGAGAGUUGGUGUACAGUCGAUUUCACAAAUAGCAUUCUAUAUACAAGAUGCUCUUCUUGUUGUUUAUUUUUUAGGAAGUGUAUUCUUUGAAAUAUUUUCCUCUUUCAUCGACCACGAAUUAAUCGCAAUUAAAUAUGAGAAAGUUAUGCCUCGCGGUGAAAUAAUAUUUUGAAGAAUUUCAGCCUCUUUGAAUCAUCGAUUAUUUAAUUAUUGAAUUAAUCUUAAUUUGCAUAAUAUCUCUGUAUAAAUUACGCCUAAAGUUUCCUAAUUUCUCCUUAAAAUAAAAUAAAAUAUAGAAAGUAAAAUGAAUACAAGAUAAAAAUAAAAUAGUUGCCCGUUCCAAUAACAACAUGUAGCAAACGCGACAACACCGAGGUUUCAGAACGGUCGGCUCGCAUCGCUAAUCGAGCUGCGCCACGCUCGCUUUAACGUUUUCACGUACGAUCUCUGACGUGUCCGGUGAUUACAUAAAACGGUUCUGCCCUUGUCCCCUCUGGAAUGAUCGAUUGGUCUCGCGUUUUCUGGCCGCGGAUUACCGCGACCGCACGCCUCUAAACGGAUUCUUUGGCGGCCAGCGUGGAAGGUUAUCUGGCCGAGUGUCUUUAUGUACACGUACACUAUCGUUCGUAAGCACUGUACAGUUUGCACAAUUUCUAGCAACGGUAUUCGAAUUUCAUUAAAGUGUUACAAAUUAA